CUCACUCUCUCCCCCUUUUCCCUCCAAGAGAGAGAGAGAGAGAGAGAAGAGGGCGACCCCAAAGCCAAAGCCUGGGAUUCUUCUUCUCGCCUCUUUGGUAUGCGCCUCACGGAGGAGCUUGGCGGCAGAUUGAGGCAAGGAGCCGGAGAGGAUGAAUUGGAAGAAACAGUGACAAAAUUAGCUCACGGCAGUUGGUCCAGCAUCUUCUGUGUCUGCUCAAGAGGAGCAGGUGAGGCAUGUUAUCAGGUCUCCAAGAUUUGCAGAUCAAACCAUAAUAUGAUGAAGGUGAUAUACUUGAAAGUCUUCAAGACAUUAUGAACUUGAAACCAAGAAAAAAUGAAUGGUGACAUAGUGUUACAAGCCAUGAAUUCAUGAAAGAGCUGCAGCAACCUGAUCUUUUUACUGAGUUUCAUAGCAACAUCAUAAACAGCUAUAUGUGUCUAAUUUUCUUUGCCAUACCAAAUACACAGCGGUUCAAUGAAAACAGACAGAAAAAAUAAAAUGGCGAGGCAUUUAACACCAGAAUCAAGAGUCCUGACCUACUUUUUCAACCAAAUACCAGCAGAAGCAGCAUUUGCUUAUAGAGGGGAUUUUUUUUUUCAUGCUUGCAUGGUGUGAAACAGUUGCUUGCAUCAAAAUGGCUGACACUAGAAAUACUGAGCUCACCAUUUGUACUAUUCAGGAUCUUUACAUAAUUAUGGAGAUUAUCCUUACAAGAAAGUUUCAAAAUUCAGAUUUGCUUCCAGUAUUUAGGUGACUGCAGGGGUGGGGCCCAGAUAAGGAACCUUAUCCCUUUGGUCAGCUCCUAAGCUAUAAAUAGGUGCCUGACCUAAGGUUUGCCCUGAUUUAAUUUUAAAAGCCAUGGUCAUUCUUGGGCAACUGCACUGAAGAUGUCACCAUAUAUCUCAUACCUGAAUUUUUUUUUCCUGAACACAUCUUCAUAUUUCUGAGAGACAAAGCCUACACCACACCCAUCCGUUUGACUGCUGGAGUCUGGUUCAAUACAUCUAGCUGGCAAACUAAUUCAGCAUAUUCUAACACUGAACAGCUGUAUCAUUACUGAGUAUACAGUACUUACAAAGUUAGUACCAUCAAAAGCUACUGCAGCAAUAUCAGAACACGUGUUGUCAGUGCUUCAUUUUCUCCAGAUCCUGAAAUAGUUGUUGACUGAGUCUGGAUUCUUCUAGUAUGCUGCUGUGAAUUGUUCCCAAACUUGGCAAUAAUUACAGUGGACUCAGUCCAUAUUGCCAAAGUCAAGUCUAUAGCUAACCAACAUAUGUCAACAGAUAUGAAAAUCAGAACAAUGGCCAAUAGAUUGGAAGCAAUCAAUAUACAUCCCCAUCAAAAAAGGGAGACACAAGAUAAUGAAGCAACUAUAAGACCAUAGCAUGAUGUCCCAUGCUCAAAAUUCUGCAAUAUAGACUCCAACCAUACAUGGAGAGAGAAAUCCCAGAGGUUCAAGCAGGAUUCAGGAAUGGAAGAGGCACUAGGGACUACAUUGAAAGUAUACAAUGACUAAUGUAGUGCACCAGGGAAUUCCAAAAGAAAAUCAGCAUGUGCUUUAUAGACUAUAGCAAAACCUUU